UUAAUGAGGCGAACCGGGGGAACUGAAACAUCUAAGUACCCCGAGGAAAAGAAAUCAACCGAGAUUCCCCCAGUAGCGGCGAGCGAACGGGGAGGAGCCCAGAGCCUGAAUCAGUGUGUGUGUUAGUGGAAGCGUCUGGAAAGGCGUGCGAUACAGGGUGACAGCCCCGUACACAAAAAUGCACAUAUUGUGAGCUCGAUGAGUAGGGCGGGACACGUGGUAUCCUGUCUGAAUAUGGGGGGACCAUCCUCCAAGGCUAAAUACUCCUGACUGACCGAUAGUGAACCAGUACCGUGAGGGAAAGGCGAAAAGAACCCCGGCGAGGGGAGUGAAAAAGAACCUGAAACCGUGUACGUACAAGCAGUGGGAGCCUCUUAAUGGGGUGACUGCGUACCUUUUGUAUAAUGGGUCAGCGACUUAUAUUCUGUAGCAAGGUUAACCGAAUAGGGGAGCCGAAGGGAAACCGAGUCUUAACUGGGCGUUAAGUUGCAGGGUAUAGACCCGAAACCCGGUGAUCUAGCCA
rnacentral:rRNA from 1 species